AUUGAACGCUGGCGGCAUGCUUUACACAUGCAAGUCGAACGGUAACAGGGUGCUUGCACCGCUGACGAGUGGCGAACGGGUGAGUAAUGCGUCGGAACGUGCCGAGUAGCGGGGGAUAACGCAGCGAAAGUUGUGCUAAUACCGCAUACGUACUGAGGUAGAAAGUGGGGGACCUUCGGGCCUCACGCUAUUCGAGCGGCCGACGUCUGAUUAGCUAGUAGGUGAGGUAAGGGCUCACCUAGGCGACGAUCAGUAGCGGGUCUGAGAGGAUGAUCCGCCACACUGGGACUGAGACACGGCCCAGACUCCUACGGGAGGCAGCAGUGGGGAAUUUUGGACAAUGGGCGCAAGCCUGAUCCAGCCAUGCCGCGUGUCUGAAGAAGGCCUUCGGGUUGUAAAGGACUUUUGUCGGGGAGGAAAUCCCUAGCGUUAAUACCGCUGGGGGAUGACAGUACCUGAAGAAUAAGCACCGGCUAACUACGUGCCAGCCGCCGCCGUAACAC
rnacentral:rRNA from 1 species